UGCAAGUCGAGCGAAUGGAUUGAGAGCUUGCUCUCAAGAAGUUAGCGGCGGACGGGUGAGUAACACGUGGGUAACCUGCCCAUAAGACUGGGAUAACUCCGGGAAACCGGGGCUAAUACCGGAUAACAUUUUGAACUGCAUGGUUCGAAAUUGAAAGGCGGCUUCGGCUGUCACUUAUGGAUGGACCCGCGUCGCAUUAGCUAGUUGGUGAGGUAACGGCUCACCAAGGCAACGAUGCGUAGCCGACCUGAGAGGGUGAUCGGCCACACUGGGACUGAGACACGGCCCAGACUCCUACGGGAGGCAGCAGUAGGGAAUCUUCCGCAAUGGACGAAAGUCUGACGGAGCAACGCCGCGUGAGUGAUGAAGGCUUUCGGGUCGUAAAACUCUGUUGUUAGGGAAGAACAAGUGCUAGUUGAAUAAGCUGGCACCUUGACGGUACCUAACCAGAAAGCCACGGCUAACUACGUGCCAGCAGCCGCGGUAAUACGUAGGUGGCAAGCGUUAUCCGGAAUUAUUGGGCGUAAAGCGCGCGCAGGUGGUUUCUUAAGUCUGAUGUGAAAGCCCACGGCUCAACCGUGGAGGGUCAUUGGAAA
rnacentral:rRNA from 2 species